GAUAAACGCUGGCGGCGUACAUGAGACAUGCAAGUCGAACGGACGAUCAGGGCUUGCUCUGAUCGUUAGUGGCGGACGGCUGAGUAACGCGUAGGUGACCUGCCCCGAAGUGGGGAAUAACUGCCCGAAAGGGUGGCUAAUACCCCAUGUGGUGGUGUGUUCGAUCACACCAGUAAAGCCGCAAGGCGCUUCAGGAGGGGCCUGCGCCCGAUUAGCUCGUUGGUGGGGUAACGGCUCACCAAGGCGACGAUCGGUAGGUGGUCUGAGAGGACGAUCACCCAGACUGGGACUGAGACACGGCCCAGACUCCUACGGGAGGCAGCAGUCGGGAAUUUUGCGCAAUGGACGAAAGUCUGACGCAGCAACGCCGCGUGAGGGAUGACGGCCUUCGGGUUGUAAACCUCUUUUGUCAGGGACGAUGAUGACGGUACCUGACGAAUAAGUCACGGCUAACUACGUGCCAGCCGCCGCGGUAAGAC
rnacentral:rRNA from 1 species